ensembl:lncRNA
GAAACAUUAGGACAUGGACUGACCAGGUGAAUCCAGGUGAGGGUUAGGGUAAGGGUGAGGGUGAGGGUGAGGGUUAGGGUGAGGGUGAGGGUUAGGGUGAGAAACAUUAGGACAUGGACUGACCAGGUGAAUCCAGGUGAGGGUGAGGGUGAGGGUUAGGGUGAGGGUUAGGGUGAGGGUGAGGGUUAGGGUGAGAAACAUUAGGACAUGGACUGACCAGGUGAAUCCAGGUGAGGGUUAGGGUGAGGGUUAGGGGGUGAGGGUUAGGGUGAGGGUUAGGGUGAGAAACAUUAGGACAUGGACUGACCAGGUGAAUCCAGGUGAGGGUGAGGGUGAGGGUUAGGGUGAGAAACAUUAGGACAUGGACUGACCAGGUGAAUCCAGGUGAGGGUUAGGGUGGGGGUUAGGGUUAGGGUGAGGGUUAGGGUGAGGGUGAGGGUGAAGGUUAGGGUGAGGGUUAGGGUGAGGGUGAGGGUUAGGGUGAGGGUUAGGGUGAGUGUGAGGAUUUGGGUGAGGGUUAGGGUGAGGGUUAGGGUUAGAGGGUUAGGGAGGGUGGGUGAG